GGGUCAGUAGGUUGGUCGUGCCACCGGUACGUACUGGUCUCACUGAUUCCUCCUUCCUGAAGAACCGUAAUGCCAUUAAUUUGGUGUUGCGGGGAAACAGGACUGUUACUUUGAAAAAAUUAGAGUGUUUAAAGCAAGCUGACGCUUGAAUACAUUAGCAUGGAAUAAUGAAAUAGGACGUUCGAUCCUAUUUUGUUGGUCUCUAGGAUUGACGUA
rnacentral:rRNA from 1 species